GCGGAGAAAUGCAGGCAGUGGUCACAAAAUAUUUAAAUAUCUAAUGUUUAAAAUUUCGCUGACAGGUAAAUUACAAGUUGGUCUAUUUAUGCAAACUUUAUGUAAAAACUACAGUGAUGUAGGCUAUAUGACGUUUUCACAGAUCCAGCAACGAACGUGCUACUUAAUAUUCAUAAGGCAUACUUUAGACAAGUCGGAAAGACUGCCCCCGCGCUCUGUUUCAAUGCAUUGUCUCUCAGACAUUCUUAAACCCAACAUAAAAAAAAAACAUUGUCUAUAGAGUGUUUCAGCAAAUAUUAAUAAUGUCAUAAAUAAAUAGCUGGUAACUGAGAGUUCACGCCUAAAGAGUUCAUAAAUCAUUCAUAUAUGGAGCCUAAUUAAAAGCCACGCGUGUUUAAUUAGACAUUCAGUCCAAGGAGCUCGCCUGCCUGUGCAUCAUGAGUUUUACGAGUAGAUUCCAUGAUGCCUUUGUCCAAAAUAACGUUAGCAUGGCUAUUAUGAUACUAAUUGAAGAAAAAUCUUCCGUAUCCUUGACCGAUCGACUGGACGAAGUUGUAAUCAAGGAGCUGCAUAAAAACGAACUUAAGAAUGUUUCCUUAAUAUUACAAGCAAUUGAACAUCUGAUCAGUAAGGAUAAGGACAGCAUCCAGAAACUUAUUCAUCACGGCUUGGUUGUGAAGAUGUUGAAUUGGUUUGAAAUGGCGUCAGAGUAUCUUAAAGAACAGCACAAACCACCCAGGGACGCCAUGAAACUCAUAGAAGUUUUCUACGAGGUUGCAAUGAGUCUGUGUCAGAUCCCCAUUGCAGGAAGCAAUAAGAUCCUGGAUAUAUUUCUGCUGCGGUUUGGAGCUGUUGUUUUGGAUUAUGAAGUGCCUUUCUGUCUGCGUCUAGAGGCUAUCAGAACCAUAAACUCUAUGUUGGACAGCAGUCCCAAAGACAUAAGGAAGAAACUCUGCCAGUCAGAUGAUCAUACCGGGCUCUUAGAAGACUUGGCAAAAGCGCUGACAGACAUUGGUGAUUAUGAAAUGCAGGUGGCCAUCUCUGAAGCACUCUGCAGGAUGACACCGAAGAAACUAAGAGAAGACUUUGCUGGAAAAUGGUUUAGUUUCAGAAGCUUUGCUUCAGCAUUUACUUCAAUUCGUGACAAAGAUUUUGAAACUGACUGUAGAACAUUUCUGAAUGAACUCAAUUGUUAUUUUGGGAACUCAAGAAGAGUCUUCUCAUUCCCUUGUAUUCAGGCAUUUCUUGAUUCAGUUGAGCUCUUCAAGCCUGAAGAUGAGUUUCUAAAGGAAUUUUGGGUGGAUUUCAACAUUGGAACAUCCACCAUUAGUUUCUUUGUAAAUGACCCAAAGAACACACUGUGGGAGCUGAUUCACCUGCCUAAAGAUGUUGUCAGCAUGUAUGAUCUUCAAGAGUGUGAUGAUCAGAAGAUAUUGUCUGUUCACAUGAGUACCCCAAUCUCUCACGGAGAGAUCACUGGCAAAAUGGUCAAAAUCAUUUUUAGUUCAGAGCACAACAUCCAAACAGCCCUGAAGAAAGUCUUUGCAGAGAAACCACAGUCUGACUCAGCCUCAAAGGACACUCUGCAAUCAGGGGAUGCCGCGACCAUGAUAGAAGGACCCCAACAUGAACAAACAAUGAAGCUGCAGAAAUUUUCAAGUUCACCUGCUGGAGAAACUAAAGGCAUCCAUCAGGUUUCCCUUCAUUUGAGUGGACCAAGCAGAUAUUCAAGAUCAAAAGUCAAAGGAAUCCCAGGCGAAGACAUCUUUCACUUUAAGGAUCAUUCAGAUUCAGAGGUGUGUAUAUGGCUACCCCAGGUGAUCCUUGAGGUGUCUCAAUGUCCGAGUGACACUUUUGACACAGAACGAUCAGGGAAGUCACAUGACGAGAAGCCAAAGACUAUAACAUUCAUGGCUGCUUUAUGGAGGUACCAGGUUGAGCGUGCCAAGACUGUAUUGUUCUGUCAGACACCAUCUUCCAACGGGUCUACAAAGUCCCUCCCUGACACUCUGGGUAGAACUCCUGUGAAGAAGAAAAUAAGGGUGAUUCAUUCAGAAAAAGGAUUUCUCCGCAAGGACAUCCCACACGCUGACUACAGCAGGAGAAAACCCAGAACUAAGGGCAAACUCAGAGUUCUUCCUCUUUCGUCACCCAGCAGUAAUGAGGAGGAAUUCCCCAAGUAUUCAACACCUAAAAAAAGACUUCAAAUGGCAAGUGAAGACUGGCAGUCUCAAGUCAAACUAAGGAGAUCACUGAACAGAGAAUCGUCCUUACUUAAAGAGGCCACUGCUGAUUCAGGUUUUCAAAACAAGAGUGUUUCUGAAACCAGUUUACAAGCAGAGGAACUUGAUAAUGUUAUUGAAGAGGAACACUGUUUAGAUAAAGAAACACCACAACCCCAAAAAACUGAAGCACUUGAAUCAUCAGAGCUGUAUGUGGGUCUAAAAGGGGACAACCAGCUACCCAGACAACCAACAUUCCAACCUAGAAGACUUUUCCUGUCUAGUCCACUAGAGGAUGCUGCAGAGCAAAUAACUGAAGUGUUGAUGGAAGAUGAGUCAGAGGAAGAGUUGGGUGCAGGUGUCAGAGCUGCAUUUAACUCCUUUAAAACUCAGUUGAGAGCACACUUUUCUAGCACGUAUAAGAAGAUUGAAGCCAUAUCACUGCAAUCUUUAACGGACUGUCAGAGAAAUGUGACCUCUCUCUUGGGAACUGUACACAAUCAAAGAUUGGAGCAUCUGGAGCAGUUUCAGAACACAGUGGUGCAGCAGUUGGAAUGUUUUGAGCAGGACUGUCUGUCUCUCAAAACCAUCGAGAAGGAGACUGUGGUUUGUCUCCGUUUCUCAAUACAACAGGCACAUUUUCAUGUUAAGUAAUUUCUGGCAGUCGGAAGUUCGGGCAUUCUGUGAUAGACAGCAGAAGAGGUUGGAUUCUCUCCUAAUCCUUAAUACGAGUGCUGAAGCAUCUUUUAGUUUAUCAGCGAGAAGAGAGGCCAAAAUUACUGUACCCACCUCUCCUCGAGGACAAUCAUCCAUGGUUGCCCUAUCAGAGACCACCACUACAGAUCCCUCGUAGGACUUUACACUAUAAAGCUCUUUCUUUCAUAUGCCUUCAUUCUGUCUUUCAGAAACAUCUACUCCUAAUUAAAACAAUUGAAUUGUCAUUGUGAAUGUAUUAUAUAAUAAACAUCACACAACGUCAUUUUAUA